UACGAAGGGGGCUAGCGUUGUUCGGAAUUACUGGGCGUAAAGCGCGCGCAGGUGGUCCUUCAAGUCAGGGGUGAAAGCCCAGAGCUCAACUCUGGAACUGCCCUUGAGACUGAGGGACUUGGGUACGGGAGAGGUGAGUGGAAUUCCGAGUGUAGAGGUGAAAUUCGUAGAUAUUCGGAAGAACACCAGUGGCGAAGGCGGCUCACUGGACCGUAACUGACGCUCAUGCACGAUAGCGUGGGGAGCAAACAGG
rnacentral:rRNA from 1 species